GUGAAUAAUAGGACGUUCCAUUUAACUGGAAGUCCGAACUCUCACUUUCUAACCCUGUGCAUUUGUUUUGGCUAGUAGGAUGCUUGCGUCCGAACACCUCUUCAUUUACAAACACAAAGUCUAUGAAUGUUUAAUUUUAUAACAAAAC
rnacentral:misc_RNA from 1 species